CUACUAUGAUUUUUGAGCAAAUGGAUAGAUGCUAGUAAUUUUUCCUCCAAAAUCUGCAUAUUUCCAACGAAUUUAAGACGAUUUUGAGUUGUAAAGAAGUGGAGUCAUAUAUUAUUAACAAGUAGAUGUCUGUGAAGAGAGGCGUGAUUCGAUUGAAGAAACGUAGCUACAAU